AAAAAGGUAAGCUAAAUCCCUAAGCUGACGGGCUCAUACCCCGUUUAUGAAAACUAUUUCUCUUUUUA
rnacentral:tRNA from 1 species